GUUGUAAUAUUCAAUAAAAGAGUCUCCUUGGGGCUUGCUCAAGAGAUGCCUCUCACAUGACACUUGCUACUCGUCUGUCGUUAUUUCAACCCAACAGUGUUGCCAAGCACAAUUCAAAGCGUUGGUGCUGACCUUUAAAGCCUUGAAUGGCCUCAGCCCAGUAACCUGAAGGAGCGUCUCCACUCCCAUCGUUCAGCCCGGACACUGAGGUCCAGCUCCGAGGGCCUUUUGGCGGUUCCGUCACUGCGAGAAAAGAGGUUAAAGGAAACCAGGCAGAGGGCCUCCUGAGUGGCGGUGCCCUCCCAGUGGAAUGCCCCCCCCCCACUGUCAGAUGGUAAGGAGAUAAAGAACUACAGAACUUUAAUAAGAUACUUGAAGGCAGCCUGUAUCAGGAAGUUUUUUAUGUUUGACAUUAUUUUUCAUAUUUUGCUAGAAGCUGCCCAUAGUAGCUGGGGAUAACUAAUAAAAUAUUAUUAUUAUUUAACUAACAGAAAAGUUAUGAACUAAGUGCCCAAACAAGAUGUAGCGUGUGCACCAUUUCAUGUUUUACUGGAAAACCUUGCUUCACUGUUAGCUGGUAGGCAGGACCUUGGGGGGAAAUUUCCCCUUGAAUCUGACUUAGGACUUCAGCACUGCCACUACAGAGUGACAGUGUCAUCAUAAUUUCACCAUGGCAACCAGCUGCUUCAUUUCCACUUAUUUGAAAGGCAGGUCAUUGAGUAUUUAUUUUAUUUAUUUAUUUUUGAAUAUAAUAUUUAUUAAGUUUUCCAUUUUAAUAUUUUUUUUCCAUUUUCUACACACAGAGAUAUUUUAACUGCGUCAUAAAAAAAAGUAAAGGUCCCCUGACAGUUAAGUCCAGUUAAGUCGCAGACGACUCUGCGGUUGCGGCACUCAUCUCACUUUACAGGAUGAGGGAGCCGGCGUUUGUCCGCAGUUUUUCUGGGUCAUGUGGCCAGCAUGAAUAAACCAAUUCUGGUGCAAAGGAACACCAAAACCAGAGCAGCGCACAGAAACACUGUUUACCUUCCCGCCAGAGCAGUAUCUUUAUAUCUACUUGCACUUUUGGGCGUGCUUUCAAACUGCUAGGUUGGCAGGAGCUGGAACUGAGCAACAGCAGCUCACCCCAUUGUGGGGAUUGGAACUGAGCCACGAGAGCUCAUCUCGCUUUACAGGCCGAGGGAGACGGCGUUUGUCCGCAGACAGUUUUUCCGGGUCAUGUGGUCAGCAUGACUAAGCCACUUCUGGCGAAGCCAGAGCAGUGCAUGGAAAGGCCGUUUACCUUCCUGUUGUUGUGGUACCUACUGCACUUUUGGGAGUGCUUUCAAACUGCUAGGUUGGCAGGAGCUGGGACUGAGCAACAGCAGCUUACCCUGUUGUGGGGAUUUGAACCGCUGACCCUCUGAUCAGUAAGGCCAAGAGGCUCAGUAGUUUAGACCACAGCACCACCCGUGUCAUAGUCCACCAUUAAUCCUGGGCAAUUAUCCAAAACUCUGCCUUGGCCUCCUUCCAGCUGUUAAUAAGAUGAUGCCUCCACACUGAAACAAUAGCUCCAUCAGGAUUUCCUUUCAUCUUUCCCUUAAUGAUCAUUGCCAGAAUCAUAGUCAAAAUUUCACACAGUCCGUUUCUUAAUUAAGAUAGCAUCCACUUACGUAUUUCAAGCCAUUUUGUUUUGGUCUUGACAAAAGUCUUUCCCCAGAUCAAAUCCUUCUCAGUGGCUGAUUAAAUCAGCAAGUUAUUUUAUCUCCGCUGGUUCAGAGCAUGCCCGUUAAGUCCGAAUUUUUAUCUUAAAAAAUAGGUGUCCUUUGCUCAUGGGGCCAGCUUUGGAUAGUUGCCACAACUGUGCGACUUACACACAGCUGCCCCUGUCCCCUCUUCCUUCUGGACGGACAGCAGGUAUCAGGACGAUCUGUGGUUGGAGUGCCCCCCCAACCCUGGGAGGGUUGGAGGGAUAAUUACUCCCAUAUUAUCCUCAAUUACCAGCAUGGAAUGGCUCCUUUGUAAUUGGCAUAGCCAAUUGUCAUGGCAGACAAACAGGAAGUGCGAGCUCAUUGAGUAUUUAAACACUGAAGCCCAAACAAAGCUUUUGUUUUCCUUUAGGUCUUGGUCAUUUGAGAAUGUGAAAGAACAUUUUGUGAAAGCCAAUAAUAAUAAUAAUAAUUUAUUUAUAUCCUGCCCAUCUGAAGUGCUCCGUUUUAGGUUUUUAUUUCAGUGGACUCAAGCAAGGCUUAAUUCUUCUCUGGAUUGCAUUGAAUGCUUUUGAACUCCCAGAACAAGCGCUUAAACCUUUUAACAGCUCAAGUUGUAUCCAAACGGUGACAUUAUGCAAGACCAAACACCUCGUUUUCAUUGUUGGUAUCCUUACUCAACUGAACCUGGCUCCCCCCUGAAAAUCAGCUGCUGGGGCUGAGAGCAAGACACAAGGAAGUAUUUUCAGAGCUGAACUGCAGGAAACUUACUUUAGGCCUAGGAGCCCUAAACAGGCAGUUAAUAUAACGAUUCUUCUGCCUUACAUACACUGAAAUUAUACCCCUUUGCUUCAAUGUAAGGAAAGGCUCUGUAAUCAUUCAGCAUUAAUGGGCUUAAAAGACAUUUUACAGGAAGAAUCACUUUGACUUAAGGUCUUUGCAUCCUUUCAAAUAAAGUGAUCUGGACAAAAUGGGUGAAUUAGAAAAGUUUUUUAUUAUACAAACUUGCAAUUGGCUAACCCAAGAUCAGUGGCUUGUCCGGCCGCAAGUCCCUCCUUCCAUGCCCACAACAAGGGACAUGCCAGUUUACAGAAGUAUUGUGUCCCCCUCAUUAGCAUUUUACCAUUCCACUUCCCAUGUUAAUCAUAAUAGAAUACAACACAACACAACACAACACAACACAACACAAUACAAUAACCUUUAUUGGCAUUUCAAGUUAAGACAUUUCGAAAUGGUAUGAGAAAAAGUCUUUUUUCUUCCUGUUUCCUGUUUCCAAGCGAUUUGAAUGGGGAAGUCCUUUCGAUUCCUCAGUAAUAAGAGGCAGUGGGGUGAGGGAGGCCAGGGCCACAUCCACACCAUUUAACACGCUAUGAAGCCACUUUAAACACUCAUGGCUUCUUCCCCCAAAGAAUCUGGGAGCUAUAGUUGGAAAAGGGUGCGGACAGUUGUUAGGGGACCCCCUGUUCCCUGCCAAGAAGGGAACCCUACCCCUACCCGAGGCUAACCCUAACUCUAACCCUAAUGCUAACGCUUAACCCUUAACUAGAGCUACAAUUCCCAGAGUUCCCUGGCAAGAAGGGAACCCUACCCCUACCCCUACCCCUGACGCUAACCCUAACUCUAACUCUAAUGCUAACCCUUAACCCCUAACUAGAGCUACAAUUCCCAGAGUUCCCUGGCAAGAAGGGAACCCUACCCCAACCCUACCUCUACCCCUGACGCUAACCCUAACUCUAACCCUAAGGUUAACCCCUAACUAGAGCUACAAUUCUCAGAGUUCUCUGACAAGAAGGGAAACCAAAUCCUUCUCCUACCCCUACUCCUGACACUAACCCUAAGGUGAACCCUUAACCAGAGCUGCAAUUCCAAGAGCUCCCUGGCAAGAAGGGAACCCGAAUCCUACCCCUACCCCUACCCUGACGCUAACCCUAACUCUAACCUUAACGCUAACCCUUAACCAGAACUACACUUCCCAGCGUUCCCUGACAAGGGAACCCUUCCCCUUCCCCUACCCUACCCCUAACUCUAACCCUAGCCCUAAUCCUGAACUACCCUAGCAACUCUCCAUCCCCUUAACCACCUACAGUUCCCAGAAUCCCUGAGGGGAAGCCAUUCCUGUUCAAAGUGUCUUCAUAGCACUUUCAAUGGACGGUGCUCCUAAUGUGGCCUAAUGUUUCCUCCCUGAUUUUCUUCUUGGUCCCCACUGCCCCAUCACUUGCAAUGCAGCAGUUGUCCACCUGCAGUCUCCCUUCAAAGCUCCUUCUCUCAGGUAUGGCCACGGCCUUGUCCAUUGCUCACUGACAGUAUUUCACGUUCAUUUCUUCGAUGUAAAUAGGGACGUCCUGCAGUUCUCUCCAUGACUUUGAAGGCUGGACUUGGGAAAAACCUCACUGGCUCCAGACAUCCCUAUAAGGCAAAGGCAAACAGGUGAGUAAGAUGGCCCCCAUCCGACAGCGUCCCCUCAGACUCCUCCUGUUUGGCUGCCUGUUCACAAACAAGGCUUCCAAACCAGUUUGCAUCCAUCUCAGCCGGCGUAGCCUCAUGGCUUCCACUAGCCUGAAUGCAAACUCUUCUGACAACCAUCCACCAGCUGCAGCCUCGCCAGGUCCAUUGCCAGACAUCAACCAGCUUCAGAGCUGGGUAUCAGUCGCCUUCAAGUAGUGAUCCCACCAGCAAGUAAACUUUGUACUUGCCUUCUCCUUGCUCCACAGCAUCCCAGCACCGGGCAAUUGCCUCCUUCUGCUUGCCAGCUUGCCGCCACAGGCAGGAGACCAGCUGGGCUGAGUGCCACCGAGCUGCCCAUUUCUCUCUGGGGAGGGCAACUGCCGAGGCUUGCGCCUUGGCCCACAUUUAUACCCGCUCAACUGACAAAUGUUUUUGUCACAUCACAGUCAACCCACAGACAAUGGCAGCAGCUGAGGAGGCAUCACCAUCACCCCCUCAGCCCUCACAAUGGUGAGCACAGCUCAGCAGCCAAAACAUACACACACACAAGUUGUGCCAAUAUCUGUGAAGGCCACACAGGGGCUGAAUUAAACCGAAUAGCGGGCCGGAAUAAGGACUUGAAAUUUACUUUGGACAUGCCUGCUAGUCAAUUCUUUUUUAAAUUCUGAGAACAAAUCAUGAAGUUCAAAUCUCAUGGCUUCUUGUAUAAAGACCUUUUUGGCUUGCUAUAAUAUUAGAAUUUUUUCCUCUGCCAUUUCAAAUCUAUUGAGAAGAGGGGCCUAUUGUACACUUCUUAAAUACUUCCCCAAUUUCCCAUUUCCUGUAUAGAAAUUAGGUUCCAAAACAAAGUGACCUUUCCUACCAAGAACAAUGUUGUUUUUACCCUUAUCACCACUUUGUCAAGGCUACUUUGCUAAGCUUGGGAAAGAACAAGAUUUUAGUAGCCUUCCGUCACUUCCCUCCCCCCCCCCACUUACUAAGGUUAGUCUCAAAUACAAUUUUAGGAAGGAAAAAAAAAUAUGUUCAAAUCUUUACGUCAAUAUAAAUCAAUAUAGUUUUAGUGUCCAAUACAAGUAAAUGUUAUAACCAUCAACUUAAUUUAAAUCUAAAUUUUUGUUUUUGUUUUUGCAGACAGAUAUUGUAAUCCUCUUCUUUCAAUCUUGAAGCUUGACCAGCUAAAAUAUAUAAUCCUUCCCCAAUUAUAUAUUUUCAAUGCUCUCUAAGAUCAGAGGUUCUUCUUCAAGAGUAUAGUCUCAGAGAGUCAAUCUUGUCUCUCUUUCAGAGAGGGAAUUCAAAGCACUCCUCUGUAUAUUAAAGUUGUAAUCUGUCUCCAGUUCAAAUUCAAGUCCAAGUCAAGUUAAAAUCAUAUCUCAAGUUCAAUUCUAGUUCAUGUCAAGUUCAUUAUUAAAGGAAAAACGUUGAAAAUCAAGAUUGGUUUUAAAGAAAGCUGUGUAGAAUCAUUUAAUCCUUGUUACUCAUUAGACUUCAGUUACACAGUAGACUUCAGUCUCUUCCCUUGUAAGAGUUCACAUGCAUAAUAUAACGCCCAUAGACGGGAGCGAACUUCCUUUUUAAACUCCCGUUUUUGUCAAAUUGGUAAAAUUGAGUAUUCCUCACCUGUGCUGUGUUGUCAACUCCAAUCUUUUGGAGAAGUCGACCGCUGUAAGGCUGGUUCGGAGACUUCACUUUUGCAGUCGCGUUGUUGUCUAAUCUGCCAGCUUUCACCUCUUCCCCUCCACUCCCAGCACCUUUCGGCACUAAGGCAGGGAUCAGAACUUUGGAGAUGCCCUUUCAUGGAUAGCAGGACCCCUCGACACCUCAGAUUGCCUUCUGAGUUUUUUGGGGCCUGCGCUUCAUCUUAGCGCUUCCCCCCGAUGCUCUGUGAAGUCAUGUCUGAUGGAACUAUCAGACCCACCAUAGCGUGGCUACCCGGAAGUCCAGAAAUUGCAUUCCCUGUAUCUAUCAUUUUUAUAUAUUUCAAAUAAGGCAAUCUAAUUGACUGCAGAAAACAUCAAGGCAGUUUACAAAAAGAAAGAAAGAAAGUACAAUUAUUAGUAAAAACAAUUAAAACAUUUUAAAAAUUAAAACCAGCAAUACGUUAAAAACUAAACUAUGCAGUUUAUUUAGUACCACCAGACAUGUUCUAAGCCUGACCAAUGUUAGAACCCAGCUUCCCAAAUAUUUCCAGGUAUUUCGGGCACUGUCUAAUCACAUCCUUUUUCUAAAAAAAUGAACCAAAAUUCAUGAAAAGUGCCCUUGUUUUCAUUGCCUCUUGAAGAUCACACUGCACGUGUUAUCUCCCCCCCCCCGCCACCAAUUCUAUACCCCAAGCCCUUUGUGCUGCAACUUGAUACUCUUUCAGUACCUUCAGAUUAGGAAGUGAGGGUAGCAGAGCUGGCUGCAGUUUACUGGUGAGUUGUUUAAUGGAAAGAACAACAUGCACAGCACUCUUACCCAUCUCUCAGUGGUAAAAUAAUCUCAAUCCCAUAAAGAGGCAGCUGAUGCCCAUUGGGACUGUUAGAGCAGAAGGCCAAAUGCCCAACAAGAUGUGGAACCAGAACCAAUUACAGCCAGAGCCAACUAAUUCCAGUUUUGCCCCAUCCUCCUCCCUGGUGAGUUCAUAAGGGCAACACCAAGGCUAAGGAGGAAGCUGGCAGGUAGUCUCAUUCUCUGGAUGUGGCUAGUUGUAGAAAUGCAAGCAUUUUUUGGGGGGGGCUGGCUGGCUGAAGGUAGAUUUGCUCUUUUGGACCAGCCUCCACUGAUUCCACACCCACCAAAACUAUACAGAAUUUCUAAAGCACCCUGCAAAGGAAAAUGAAGGAAGAAGGAAAAUGAAGGAAAGGAAAGUUGCAUUAAUAGUUUGGUUGAGAUUUCUGAACUGCAGGGGGUUGGACUGGGUGACCCUUGGGGUCCCUUCAAAUUCUGCAAUUCUAUGAUUCUAUGACAGGAAUCCCCACGCCUAUCCCAGUGGAUGAAAUUGUAGAUAAAAUUGGUCGAAAAGUUUCAGAACAACAGAGCCAGGAUGUCAGGAGGCUAUCCUUAUGGGACAAAAGCUAACAUGUAUUUUACUGAGUGCUGUGCCAUCUGGUGAAAUAAAUAUUAAGUUGAUUAAUUGUAUGAGUUUUAGCUGAUUAAUUGAUUAAAUGUGCAUACAUUCAAAUAUGCCUAAAAGCAACAGCUCUGAAGCAUAAAGCACACUUCCUUCAUUUUGAUGAUGCAUGUGUGUGCUGGAGCACACAUCAUCUUAAGAGAGGCAUUUUCUCUGAUGUGAGACAGAUGCUGCUUGCUAUCUGCAGUUUUGUAAGUGCAUGUAUUAAAAAUUAUACGCACACAAAUACACACAAUCUGUCGCCUGAUUAAUUGAGACAUUUUCUUAUAGCCAGGCAGGCCCUGGACCAUACCCACACCACAGCUGUAUCCACUCAGCCAGCUACCAAACACUGCAGUAUUCCAAUAAGGUCUCUUACCUGCAGGCAGGCAUGCAGGCAGGCAUUACAUCAGUACAGAUGGAUGCAGGCAGAACACACACACUCUUGCUAGCUGGGAGAGCAGAUAAAGCAGGGGCCAAAGUGGGCAAAUGAGCCCUUCCCCAUUGAGUCCUCUGUAGGUCUGCUCCCUAAUGUGAUGUAAUGUAGACUGGUGUAAAAUUCAUAUAUUUGUGCAUAGCUUUUGCGUACCGUAACUGAACUGCAAAAUACAAAGGUGUGUAUAUUCAGAAUGGGAGUUGCAUUCCAAUCCACAAACAAGUUUGAGAGCAUUGGAUUGGGUUGGCCCACUGCAAAAAGUGGACCAAACACAUUCCUCCCCUAUCCCUAGUGCUUAUUCAAACAAGAACAAUGGCAGAUGCAUUUAGCCAGCAUUAAAAAUGAGCUAUGCUAAAAUGAAGUAUCAUUUCUGUUUGUAACUCAAUCCACAGUGAAUGAAGCAAUUCCUGAGACACAGAAAUGAAUUUAUAAAAAACAACUGUAAAUAAUGGUUACAUUCUGUGCUCACUGAUGAUCAUUUUAGUUAGUUAGGGUUUUUUGUUUUGUCUUAACACUUUUCAUGUAUCAUGUUACUGGGUUGAUCAGAGCCAGAUGGAGCCUGUUCAAAUGUUCAUGACUUCUACUCAUCAUGAACAUAUGUUCUCAGAAUAAUGGGAUGGUUUCUCAACAAACACUAAUCCAGAUUUAAAACAACAACAACAAAACUAUGAUGAGACUCAUAACACAAGAGAGACAUAAACAGUGAGAUAAGCACAGCUGGAUGAGAAGACUCCAUGUACAGAAGCCCUGUAGCAUGUUAUGAUCAGUAAUUAGGACUCUAUGUAUCACCCAACUAGAGAAAUUAGCAAAAUGGGAUUUUGAUAUGUCCCAACAGGUGCAGAAAGAGUUCCUACACCCUAAAGCAAUUAAUUUCCCACAAAUAUUAGUUAACAUCUCUCUCUCUCUCUCUCUCUCUCUCUCUCUGUGUGUGUGUGUGUGUGUAAUAAUGGAAUACCAUAGGUUCCCUUCCUCUCUGUAUGCUAGACUAUCAUAGUGCAGUUACCCAAAAGAAAACCAAGAAGCAAUCUUUCACUAAGAGCAAUGCAGACCAUUGUACAUCUUUAUAAUAGCAUUAUGGUAAUAGAGGAGCCAUCUUUUUUAUAUCCAUGAUAGAUGUGCUAUGCAUCAGGUAUGAAAAACGUUCAAAAGCUUUAGCUGGCCCACAAUAAAAUAGCAAGGCUGCCAAUAUGUUUAGGAAAAAGUAAGCAAGGGCCACCCAGCCCAGGAGAUGAUUGCAACAGUAGAGCCAGCACCCCUGCCAGCUGUUGCAGGUCAGGGUGGGAACACAGGGGCAGUUUUUAGGGGGGUUGUUGUUUGUUUGUUUGUUUGUUUGCUGCACUAGAUGCAGACUGAGCAGCAGAAGGACACAAAUAAAAUCCCUCAUCUGCCAAUAUGGCAUCUUGGGAGAUAGUCGAUCCUCGGUGGGCUGUGCUCUGUCCUUGAAUUGCCUGGUUUCAGCUACCCCCAGAUUCAGAACAUAGCUGUCAACCUUCCCUUUUUUUGCGAGAAAUUCCCUUAUUCCAGCACCAUUUCCCACUGCUUCCCGCUGCUAUCCCGGAUUGUUAGAUAUCCUGUAGACUGUCCCCGGGACAGGUGUGGCUGCUGAUCCUUUAUUUUUGAGGCUGCUGAUCCCUUAUUUUCAAAUCUGAAAGUUGACAGCUAUGGUUCAGAACCAUGCAUCAGCUGCUGCUUUGGUGAACCCAGUGGGAGCUUUCACAAUUGUGGAGCUCUCUACAAGUGAAGCCAGUUGGAGGGACAAGUCUAUCCAAUCCAAUCUCUCACCAGGGGAUAGACUAGAGGUUAGGGUUGCUCCCUAAAUUGAAUUAUAUGAGUUGAAUACUAUUCAUCACGUCCUGAUUGUUCUGGUGCAGGUCUCAAGUCAAGAAGAAGAAGAAGAAGAAGAAGAAGAAGAAGAAGAAGAAGAAGAAGGAAGUGCAUUAUAAUAUAUUCUAAAAUGCGUAUUAGUACAUUUUCAUAUAGAAACAUGCACAUUUUCAUAUAGAAACUUUUAAAUAAACAGGAUGGAAUAACCUAAUUGAGUAAACACACACAAAAGCACCACAGACUAAAAAACAGGCAGUUUUGUCUUUAGGAACAUAGGAAGCUGCCUUUUACAAAGUCAAACUAUUGGUCCAUCUAGCUCAUCACUGUCCAUGUUGACUACCUGCAGCUGUGGACUGAACCUGACAUCUUCUGCAUGCAAAGCAGGUACUCUGUUACUAAACUAUUUCCCUUUCUUUCUUCUACAUUCCUACUGCUUAUUACUCAAAAUUACUUCUACUUCACACUUGCCCAUUUCUUACUGCCUCAAAUUAUGCAACUCUAGCAACUAUGUGUUUUAUAGACCUUUAGUUCAACUACAAUUUUCAUAUUCAAGUAACAAUCCCACUUUCAGGAGACAGGAUACAACCCAUCCAGAAAAUUACUGUAUAUUUUGGAGAAGUGUAUUGCCAUCAAGCUGCUGCAGCACCAAGGAGACAGUAAUAAUAGUUAUAGCGCAUUGCCAGUUCCAAUACUUGCUUAUUUCCUUUCUGGCAACUGAAAAUAAUAAUAAUAAAAAACACUGAAUGAGAU
rnacentral:lncRNA from 1 species